GUUGGUGCUAUCAUCCUCCAUAAGGAUUACAAUGGAAGCUCGUAAUGAACGCAAACGUAGAUGUGUUGACACGUUGGGGGAUGUGCAGCCGUCGGAAGAUCUUAUUUUAAACCUUGCUCCCGAGGAAGGCGAAACCUCCCGCAAAAAACUCAAAAAAAUUAAAAUAUACAUUGGAAAAAAUGUUUCAAUAGAAACUUGUGACUUCAAAAAUGUCAAUUAUGUUUCAUUUGUAAGGGUGUAUCCCGAAACCGCCGCCACCCCCAAAAGAUUUAAUAUAAAUAUGAAUUGUAUUGAUCGUAUAAUCGAAGCUUUGGGGGUGAUUAAGAGUCACUGUAUGUAAAAUUAAAAAAAAAAAAAAAAAA